rnacentral:piRNA from 1 species
UUACAAGUACAAGUAGGCUGCGA